CUACGGGUGGCUGCAGUAGGGAAUUUUCGGCAAUGGAGGAAACUCUGACCGAGCAACGCCGCGUGAAUGAAGACAUAUUUCGGUAUGUAAAGUUCUUUUAUUAGGGAAGAAUAGCCCAUGGAAAAAUGGGUGUGACGGUACCUAAUGAAUAAGCCCCGGCUAACUAUGUGCCAGCAGCCGCGGUAAUACAUAGGGGGCAAGCGUUAUCCGGAAUUAUUGGGCGUAAAGGGUGCGUAGGCGGCCAUUUAAGUCUUUGGUAUAAGUGCAGUGCUUAACGCUGUGAUGCUAAGGAAACUGAAUGGCUUGAGUGAGAUAGAGGCAAGUGGAAUUCCAUGUGUAGCGGUAAAAUGCGUAAAUAUAUGGAGGAACACCAGUGGCGAAGGCGGCUUGCUGGGUCUACACUGACGCUGAGGCACGAAAGCGUGGGGAGCAAACAGGAUUAGAUACCCCCGUAGUC
rnacentral:rRNA from 1 species